UAAAUCACAAUUGCAAUUGUAUUAAAGUUCACAUAUAUCCAUGUGAUAUAGCAUUAGUUAAAGAUUCUCAUCCCUCUCUCAGAGUUAUUUGAGAGAUACUAUCUAUGUACAUUAUAUCACUAGUUAACACUGGGUUUACACUUUGUUUUGUGGUGAUCAAAGCUGAAUAUAUAUGUAAGGAAGAAGUAUAGUAUUAUUUUCUCUUAAUGGAACUUCAGCAUGAGGAAGGCAUUUCUACCUAUAAAAUGACCUAUUUGCAUGAAAACAAGAACUUUGUUUCAGGAAAGUUAUUCUUAACCACCCUUUUGUUUAGUUGAGGGACUUGCAAUGUAUCCAGCAUUUAAGAAUAAAUGUCUAUAUUCAACUUGUGUCCAUUAAAUUUGAUGUUUCAUAUGCAAAUGUAUUCAUACCAAAACUUAAAUGUAUACAUAUUGUAAGAGAUAAAGCAAUCAACAAUAAGUUUGACAGUUAAGUUUUGUAAUAUGGUUUGAUUAAUUAUAUUCAAAUUCAUUUGAUUAAAGUGACAAUUACUGUACACAUUGACAUUUGAUUUUUCAAAGUCUGUCUAUGGGUUAUUCAUUCUGAUGUAGUGCCCCAGAUAUUCCAUGGAUGUAAUAUGGCCAAUCAGAAUAGUAUCAGUGUAAUCACAAACAUUCACCCCUGUUUUAUAUGCAUUUAUAUUUGCUUACAAAAGCUAGAAAGUGUACCAUGUUUGUAUUAUAAAAAGAUUGAAUGUUAGGUUAAUCAUGUUCAGUAAAGUUUUAGAGGAUUGAAAUCUUUGAUUGUUUUAUACAAAAAGAUCUGACCA
rnacentral:lncRNA from 1 species